GAGGAGAAUUAAGCUGUGAACUGGAAUUCCAGCAGGCUGUCUACUGUGAAGCCCCGUGGCUUUAGAAAAGGGGCAGUAGUGGUCAGAAAUGACACUCAAAAGCAAACAACAUGUAAUUAAUAGAACUCCAGUUCCUGUGAAAGAGAGAAGGUGCUUGUACUACACACAGCCACCUAAGAAAGUUUGCCCACUCAAUCACCAGCUAGAACUAAUGGGAAUCCAGACUGUCCUGCCCUGACCAGCCCAGCCCAGAUUUUAAGGAUAGGAGGAUGUGGGAAACAAACUGGGAUUCUCCAUGCUGAAAGUGUGUUGAGGCUGAAGUGCAUUGACCAG